UGGAAGUUGUAUGCAAAUGACGUGAGAGCCUGUUCUUCUAGAAGGGCGGUGUGUAAGUAUAAACAACGUCUUCUAGAAAGAGCAGCAAACAUCAUCAGUUCCAAAAUUCAGACACAAGUCCAAGCGUGAAAGCUAUUACACUUGUGUUGUCUCAGGCUAUUCAUUUUCUCACUCAACAUAGAGAUUCAUGAAUCAAAAUCAUUU